GAAAGAGGAAGAGAUUCUGUGAGAUCCCCUGUUAACUUUGACUUUCAUGUCCCAUUUUCGUUUCUGUUCUUGGGUUUAGUAUCUUAAAUUUCUGGAUCAGCUUUCUCAGAAAAUGAAGUUGGACCAGAUGGCUGCCGAACUUGGCUUUGACAUGAGGCUGGACAUGUUUUUAGCUCGAACAGAGCAGCUGGUUCGUCUUGAGAGCAAUGCAGUCAUUGAGAACAAGACCAUUGCCCAGAAUUUGCAGAGAAAGCUAAAGACACAGAAAGAGAGACUGGAGAGCAAAGAAUUACACAUGAGCCUCCUCCGGCAGAAAAUAGCCCAGCUGGAGGAGGAGAAGCAGGCACGCACGGCCGUGGUGGUUGAGAGGGACAACGCGCAUCUUACCAUCAGGAAGUUGCAGAAGAAGGUGGAGAGGCUGCAGAAAGAGCUGAACACGUGUCGAGACUUGCACACCGAGCUCAAAGCCAAACUGGCUGACACCAAUGAACUGAAGAUUAAAACUUUGGAACAGACUAAAGCCAUUGAAGAUCUAAACAAAUCCAGAGACCAGCUGGAGAAGAUGAAGGAGAAA
rnacentral:sRNA from 1 species